rnacentral:rRNA from 1 species
AUCGAACGCUGGCGGCGUGGAUAAGACAUGCAAGUCGAACGGGACAGACCGAGUAGCAAUAUUUGGAAUGUUCAGUGGCGAACGGGUGCGUAACACGUGGAUAACAUUCCGGAAAGCGGGGAAUAGCCCAGGGAAACUUGGAUUAAUACCGCAUGUGGCCGCAAGGCUAAAGACGGGGACCGCAAGGCCUGUCACUUUCCGAUUGGUCCGCGGCCUAUCAGCUAGUUGGCGGGGUAAUGGCCCACCAAGGCUACGACGGGUAGCUGGUCUUAGAGGCAGACCAGCCAGCCUGGAACAGAGACACGGUCCAGACACCUACGGGUGGCAGCAGUCGAUAAUCUUUCACAAUGGGGCAACCCUGAUGGAGCGACGCCGCGUGGAGGAUAAGGUCUUCGGAUUGUAAACUCCUGUCAUGCGAGAACAAGGUACUCUGGCUAAUAACCUGAUUGUUUGAUGGUACCGCAAGAGGAAGAGACGGCUAACUCUGUGCCAGCCGCCGCCGUAACAC